AGGCUGCAACCCGCCUGUAUGAAGUUGGAAUCGCUAGUAAUCGCGGAUCAGCAUGCCGCGGUGAAUACGUUCCCGGGCCUUGUACACACCGCCCGUCACACCAUGAGAGUCGGGAACACCCGAAGUCCGUAGCCUAACCGCAAGGGGGGCGCGGCCGAAGGUGGGUUCGAUAAUUGGGGUGAAGUCGUAACAAGGUACC
rnacentral:rRNA from 1 species